UCCAGACGAUGGCAGUCAUCAAGAGCAAUCGCACACAUGCCGUGGGUUCUUCAAUCUGCGUUGUUGUUAUGAUCAUCUCUUGCACUUUGAUCUUACCAACCUCUUGCUAUGAACUUGAUCGUCAUGAGGAGUGCAUGCCUACUCAAGUCUGCCAUUGGAACGUCUGCAAGAUCUUUUGCAGAUACAGCGGCCACCCUUGGCUUGGGGCCUACUGCAAGACUCGGCCAGGAGAUGUGAAACUAUGUUGUUGCAUUUAUUCCUGAAUCUCCAGUGAUGCAAGUUGUUGUUUGGGGCACUAAUAUUGCAGUUUCCUGUAUCCACCCGUUUGCGAUGCAGUCUCAAUAAAAGAGUUCUCUAGCGACUCAAUCAA